GAUGAACGCUGGCGGCGUGCCUAAUACAUGCAAGUCGAGCGAACAGAGGAGGAGCUUUCUCCUCUUACGUUAGCGGCGGACGGGUGAGUAACACGUGUAUAACCUACCUAUAAGACUGGGAUAACUUCCGGAAAACGGAGGUAAUACCGGAUAAUAGAUUCAACCGCAUAGUUGAAUAGUUAAAGACGUUUUGGCUGCCACUGAUAGAUGGAUCCGCACCGCAUUAGCUAGUUGGUAAGGUAACGGCUUACCAAGGCAACGAUCCGUAGCCGACCUGAGAGGGUGAUCAGCCACACUGGAACUGAGACACGGUCCAGACUCCUACGGGAGGCAGCAGUAGGGAAUAUUGCACAAAGGGCGAAAGCCUGAUGGAGCCACGCCGCGUGUAUGAUGAAGGUCUUCGGAUCGUAAAACUCUGUUAUCAGGGAAGAAGGAAGGUGAAAUAAAAUCUGCACGUAUUGACGGUACCCGAUGAGAAAGCAACGGCUAACUCCGUG
rnacentral:rRNA from 1 species